AUUGAACGCUGGCGGCAUGCCUUACACAUGCAAGUCGAACGGCAGCACGGGUGCUUGCACCUGGUGGCGAGUGGCGAACGGGUGAGUAAUAUAUCGGAACGUACCUUAUUGUGGGGGAUAACGCAGCGAAAGCUGUGCUAAUACCGCAUAAUCCCUAAGGGGGAAAGCGGGGGACCGUAAGGCCUCGCGCAAUUAGAGCGGCCGAUACCUGAUUAGCUAGUUGGUGAGGUAAAGGCUCACCAAGGCAACGAUCAGUAGCUGGUCUGAGAGGACGAUCAGCGACACUGGGACUGUGACACUGCGCAGACUCGUACGGGAGGCAGCAGUGGGGAAUUUUGGACAAUGGGGGCAACCCUGAUCCAGCAAUGCCGCGGGAGUGAAGAAGGCCUUCGGGUUGUAAAGCUCUUGUGUCAGGGAAGAAACAGCAGCUCUAACACAGUAUGCGAAUUACGGUACCUGAAGAAUAAGCACCGGCUAACUACGUGCCAGCCGCCGCAGUAA
rnacentral:rRNA from 1 species